ACUCCUACGGGAGGCAGCAGUGGGGAAUAUUGGACAAUGGAUGGAAAUCUGAUCCAGCCAUGCCGCGUGCAGGAAGACGGCCCUAUGGGUUGUAAACUGCUUUUCUACGGGAGCAAUAAGGUCUACGCGUAGACUGAUGAGAGUACCGUAGGAAUAAGCAUCGGCUAACUCCGUGCCAGCAGCCGCGGUAAU
rnacentral:rRNA from 1 species